GGGCGCAUGGUGUAGUUGGUUAUCACGCUCGCUUAGCAGUUGACCCAAAAAUCAAACCUGCGAGAGGUGUUGGGUUCAAUUCCCAAUGCGUCCA